UACGUAGGGGGCAAGCGUUGUCCGGAAUCAUUGGGCGUAAAGAGCGCGUAGGCGGUCCGGUAAGUCCGCUCUGAAAGUCCGGGGCUCAACCCCGGGAGGCGGGCGGAUACUGUCGGGCUAGAGUCCGGAAGAGGCGAGUGGAAUUCCCGGUGUAGCGGUGAAAUGCGCAGAUAUCGGGAGGAACACCAAUGGCGAAGGCAGCUCGCUGGGACGGUACUGACGCUGAGGCGCGAAAGCGUGGGGAGCAAACAGG
rnacentral:rRNA from 1 species